UACGGAGGGUGCGAGCGUUAAUCGGAAUUACUGGGCGUAAAGCGCGCGUAGGCGGCCCGGUAAGUCCGGCGUGAAAUCCCCGGGCUCAACCUGGGAACUGCGCCGGAUACUGCCGGGCUGGAGUGUGGGAGAGGGGCGUGGAAUUUCCGGUGUAGCAGUGAAAUGCGUAGAGAUCGGAAGGAACACCAGUGGCGAAGGCGGCGCCCUGGACCAACACUGACGCUGAGGCGCGAAAGCGUGGGGAGCAAACAGG
rnacentral:rRNA from 1 species